UGUCCGAGUUGUAAUCUAGAGAAGUGCUGCCCGUGCUGGACCGUGUACAAGUCUCCUGGAAUGGAGCGUCACAGAGGGUGAGAAUCCCGUCUUUGACAUGGACUGCCAGUGCAUUUGUGGUGUGCUCUCAAAGAGUCGAGUUGUUUGGGAAUGCAGCUCUAAAUGGGUGGUAAACUCCAUCUAAAGCUAAAUAUUGGCGAGAGACCGAUAGCGAACAAGUACCGUGAGGGAAAGAUGAAAAGAACUUUGGAAAGAGAGUUAAACAGUAUGUGAAAUUGUUGAAAGGGAAACGCUUAAAGUCAGUCAUGUCGGCCAGGGAUCAACUCAGUUUUUUCUGCUGGGUGUAUUUCCUGAUCUGAUGGGCCAACAUCAGUUUUGACUGCUGGAGAAGGAUAGAGGGAAUGUGGCACCUCCGGGUGUGUUAUAGCUCUCUGUCGGAUGCAGUGGUUGGGACUGAGGAAAGCAGCACGCCGCAAGGCCGGGUUGUUUCGACCAUGUUCGUGCUGAGGAUGUUGGCAUAAUGGCUUUAAUCGACCCGUCUUGAAACACGGACCAAGGAGUCUAACAUGCCUGCGAGUGUUUGGGUGGCAAACCCGAGUGCGGAAUGAAAGUGAAAGGUUGAGAUCCCUGUCAUGGGGAGCAUCGAUGCCCGGACCUGAGCUUUUAGCAAAGGAUCUGCGGUAGAGCAUGUAUGUUAGGACCCGAAAGAUGGUGAACUAUGCCUGAAUAGGGUGAAGCCAGAGGAAACUCUGGUGGAGGCUCGUAGCGAUUCUGACGUGCAAAUCGAUCGUCGAAUUUGGGUAUAG
rnacentral:rRNA from 1 species